CUCUGUGACUCCUACGGGAGGCAGCAGUGGGGAAUAUUGCACAAUGGGCGCAAGCCUGAUGCAGCCAUGCCGCGUGUGUGAAGAAGGCCUUCGGGUUGUAAAGCACUUUCAGUUGUGAGGAAGGUGGUGUCGUUAAUAGCGGCAUCAUUUGACGUUAGCAACAGAAGAAGCACCGGCUAACUCCGUGCCAGCAGCCGCGGUAAUACGGAGGGUGCGAGCGUUAAUCGGAAUUACUGGGCGUAAAGCGCAUGCAGGUGGUUUGUUAAGUCAGAUGUGAAAGCCCCGGGGCUCAACCUCGGAAUUGCAUUUGAAACUGGCAGACUAGAGUACUGUAGAGGGGGUAGAAUUUCAGGUGUAGCGGUGAAAUGCGUAGAGAUCUGAAGGAAUACCGGUGGCGAAGGCGGCCCCCUGGACAGAUACUGACACUCAGAUGCGAAAGCGUGGGGAGCAAACAGGAUUAGAUACCCUGGUAG
rnacentral:rRNA from 1 species